UACGUAGGCAGCGAGCGUUGUUCGGAGUUACUGGGCGUAAAGAGUAUGUAGGCGGUUCUGCAAGUUCGGUGUGAAAUCUCCCGGCUCAACUGGGUGGGUGCGCCGAAAACUGCAGGGCUAGAGUGCGGGAGAGGAAAGCGGAAUUCCUGGUGUAGCGGUGAAAUGCGUAGAUAUCAGGAGGAACACCGGCGGUGUAGACGGCUUUCUGGACCGCUACUGACGCUGAGAUACGAAAGCGUGGGGAGCAAACAGG
rnacentral:rRNA from 1 species